UCGCGCGUAGAGGCGGGUCCU
rnacentral:misc_RNA from 1 species